AUUGAACGCUGGCGGCAGGCUUAACACAUGCAAGUCGAGGGGUAACGAGAGGAAAGCUUGCUUUCCUUGUCGACGACCGGCGCACGGGUGAGUAACGCGUAUCCAACCUGCCCCCAACUAAGGAAUAACCUUGCGAAAGUAAGACUAAUACCUUAUAAUUUCCUCAGAUGUCAUCUGACGAGGAAUAAAGAUUUAUCGGUUGUGGAUGGGGAUGCGUCUGAUUAGCUUGUUGGCGGGGUAACGGCCCACCAAGGCAACGAUCAGUAGGGGUUCUGAGAGGAAGGUCCCCCACAUUGGAACUGAGACACGGUCCAAACUCCUACGGGAGGCAGCAGUGAGGAAUAUUGGUCAAUGGGCGAAAGCCUGAACCAGCCAAGUAGCGUGCAGGAUGACGGCCCUAUGGGUUGUAAACUGCUUUUAUACAGGAAUAAAGUUAGCCACGUGUGGUUAUUUGUAGGUACUGUAUGAAUAAGGACCGGCUAAUUCCGUGCCAGCAGCCGCGGUAA
rnacentral:rRNA from 1 species